rnacentral:rRNA from 1 species
UACGUAGGGGGCAAGCGUUGUCCGGAAUUAUUGGGCGUAAAGAGCGCGUAGGCGGUCCGAUAAGUCGGCUGUGAAAGUCAGGGGCUCAACCCUUGAAAGCCGGCCGAUACUGUCGGACUAGAGUCCGGAAGAGGCAAGUGGAAUUCCCGGUGUAGCGGUGAAAUGCGCAGAUAUCGGGAGGAACACCAAUGGCGAAGGCAGCUUGCUGGGACGGUACUGACGCUGAGGCGCGAAAGCCAGGGGAGCAAACGGG